GAUGUUGCCCUUAGCCACAUUUCUCUUUGUCUUCUCUAUCCUUAAACCUGGAUCCCCCUCUGAAAUUCGACUGGUUGAGUCUGGUGAGGGAAUCAGGAAGCCUGGAGAAUCCCUCCAGUUGACCUGUACUGUCUCUGGUUACACCAUCACUGCUGGCUAUACUUGGAACUGGGUCCGCCAGCCUCCAGGGAAAGGACUGCAAUGGAUAGGAAGGGGAUAUUUCAGAAGUUCAAGAUGGAUCACAGAAUAUGGUUCAGCCUUCCAGAGCAGGAUUUCCAUCUCUCCUGAUUCAUCCAAGAAUGCAUAUCAUCUCCAGCUGAAUUCCCUGACAGCUGCAGACACAGCCAUGUAUUACUGUGCAAGGGAACACAGUGACACAGAGCAACCUAGCAUGAAACCUCUGGAGAUUUCCCCUGGUGACAAUUAUAGUGAUCUGAAUAAAUGCAGAAGACGAUAA